GAUGAAGAACGUAGCGAAAUGCGAUAAGUAGUGUGAAUUGCAGAAUUCAGUGAAUCAUCGAAUCUUUGAACGCACAUUGCGCCCCUUGUUAUUCCAUGGGGCAUGCCUGUUCGAGCGUCAUUUGUACCUUCAAGCUCUGCUUGGUGUUGGGUGUUUGUCUCGCCUCUGCGUGUAGACUCGCCUCAAAACAAUUGGCAGCCGGCGUAUUGAUUUCGGAGCGCAGUACAUCUCGCGCUUUGCACUCAUAACGACGACGUCCAAAAGUACAUUUUUACACUCUUGACCUCGGAUCAGGUAGGGAUACCCGCUGAACUUAAGCAUAUCAAUAAGCGGAGGA
rnacentral:misc_RNA from 1 species